GAGUAGCUUUGGACAUGUGUCUGCCAGUAGAUCCCCCGUCUUUGUGCGGCCGACUAUUGGCGCCGUGUCCUGUCAUCCGUGUGGCUUAUGCUGCUGUUGCCUUUCAAGUGCUUGCAUGCUGGUACCCGACCUACGGGAAGUGGUGCUUAUAACACUUUACCUCGCGGUGGACACCUUCGGGUGUGCCGCUGCGGCCUAAUGGCGGUUGCGGUGUUUCCUCGUGGUUCAGACACUCUUACGUGCUCGGUGCUACCAAGGCAGCCUCGCUCCCGCUGGUGGUCUCGGAUGUUGCUCACGAUAAAAGGCUCAUGGCCCUUUUGGUUGCCUCGACCUGACCCUUAAGCUGCUCUCCGAAUUUGAGAACAACCGUGAACAGGUGUUGCCUCUACCUCUCCACAGUUAGUGGUAGGAUACGCAACAUUCUGCGCCGAUCCUCAAGCAAGUAGGAUGAGCUUGGCCCGCUCAAUCGCGACAACCGGCUCGGACGUUGCCUCAGCCUUGACACGCAAGUGGAAGGGCGGACAAAGACCGACGCUGGAUGUCAACGAGGACGUGCUACCUGGUUGAUCCUGCCA
rnacentral:misc_RNA from 1 species